ACUACAAGUUUGAUCGACAUAUAGCUGCUCUAAUUGAGAUGGAAGAUGCUAAGAAGCUGUUCAAUGAUUGUUGGAAUACAAAGAAUGAUGCUUUGAAAGAGACUCUGUCUGCUACCUCUCAAUGUCAUUUGGACACGAAAGGGAAGUCAAAGGUUGUCUGUGGUGAUGAAACUGUUUCUCCAAAGGUUUAUAUGAACUAAUAACAUAAUUUAAUAUUUUUUUUCAGUAUGUA